rnacentral:rRNA from 12 species
UAAAUAUUCCUGAAUGACCGAUAGUGAAAUAGUACCGUGAGGGAAAGGUGAAAAGAACCCUGAAUAAGGGAGUGAAAUAGAUCCUGAAACCAUACGCUUACAAGCGGUCGGAGCCCUUUAGUGGGGUGACGGCGUGCCUUUUGCAUAAUGAGCCUACGAGUUACCGUUGCCAGCAAGGUUAAGCAGUUCAGCUGUGGAGCCGUAGCGAAAGCGAGUCUGAAUAGGGCGCUUUAGUU